UUUGGUCAGGUAGAGGGGCCAUCUGAUAGCCGUUUGUAUAAACAGGCCCCAUGAUCCUACUAGACCCUAAAGCCGCUUUGCACUUGUCUUUCCUCAUCAUCACCCACUCUUCCUCUUUUAGUCUCCGCUGCUGCCACUAACCACUGCUCAGCUCACGGCCUUCUUCCUCUUCCCAGUGCCCACGACCUCCUGAGACUCUCCACUUCUCACAAGCCACCAGCCCAUGUAAAGAUGGCUUUCAGCUGUUUCCUCAAGACUCCUGGUAACCUCUUGAAAAAGCGGUAUUUAUUGUAUGUGUGUUUUAACAUUAUAAAUGUAAUCUGCAUUUGAUGCACAAAACCCAGAAGAGUAAAAAGAAGCGAAAACUCGUGACAGUCCCACUACCAAGGGUUAGUAUGUGUUCUGCCAGUCUAUUUUCCGUGAAUGUUUUUCAGCAUUGUUUUUAAAGACAUUAAUGACCUAAUUAUACACUUCUGAUUUAGGCAUCAUUCUAAGUACUUUGCCUGGAUGCUCUCAGGCUGCAUAUAGUACAGCCCUGUUACGUCAACACUUUUAUUACCACCAUUUUUACAAAUGAAGGCGUUGCAGUUUAGAAGGGGCAGGAAAUCUGCCCAGGACUUCCCAAGGCGAUGGUGGGGCCAGGAUUUAGUAGCAGGCUGGGCUCUGCAGAUUCCACAGCUCCAAACCACCUCACGAUACAUAUCUGUGUGGGAUACAGACUAAUGUGUGUCCAGUUUUUCACUGAACAACAAAUUGGGACUAAUUUCUCAUUCUUUCGAUAGCCCUCUACACAUGGGUUUUACAGUUGCCUAUAUCCCACUGCACAGACUUAUCUUAACCUUUGUAGCCACUUCCCUGGUUUUGGAUUGUUACAGAUUUUGCCAUUGUGAUCCUGAGAUGAUCAGUCAGUACAGAUUUUUUAAGCCCAUCUCCCGUGAUCUGAUGGUAGUGGAAUUCUGUGUGAAUGGACACACACACACAUGAAAGAGUUUUGAAAGACUGGCAAAUCACCUUUAAGAAAAAUUAUACCUGCAACAUUCAGUAUUAUAAUCUUCUAUCAAACUGGCAAGCAUUUUUAUUUUAUUAUUUUUUAAAUGUUUGUUUGUUUAAUUAAUUAAUUAAUUAAUUAGUUAAUUAAUUUUUGAGAGAGGAGAGAAAAGCAAGCCAGGAAGGGGCAGAGAAAGAGGGAGAGAGAAAUCCUAGGCAGGCUCUCUGCUGUCAGCAUGGAGCCCAACGCAGGGCUCAAGCUCAUGAACCACGAGAUCAUAACCUGAGCUAAAACCAAGAGCCACCCAGGCACCCCAGCAUUUUAAAAAAUUUAUAUCUAACUUUUAAACUUUUAACUUAUUUUUUUAGUGAUCAAGCAAUGAACUUUCUUAUUUAUUCAUUGUCAAUUUUAAUUUAUUCUUUUGUAAAUUUACUGCUUAUGCUCCUUACCUAGUUUUCUACUGUGUGUGUGAUUUAUUUUUAGAUUGACUUGCAGAAACUUAUUACAUUAAGGAUAUUAAUCCUCUGCUUUCUGGAUUGCAGAUAGGUAUCUCAGUUUGUCUUGCUUUUAGUCAGUUUUAUCCUAAGAUAAAAUUCAAUUCGGUUUACCUUAGGAUGUUUUUGCAUUUUCGUUAGAGGCUUGAAAAUGUUAUGCAGCUGAUUUAUUGAUCUUUUUCUUUGUGCCUGCUUCCUUUACUUUUUUUUUUUUUAACUUCCUUCUGUCUCCUCAGCAAUAUGACAUAAACAUUCAUGUUGAAUGUGGAUUUUAUCCUGUUGCUUAAAAUUAAACUUGCUACAACAUGAACUAAAGCACUGAGAUGUCAGAGUGGGUGACUCAGUGAUAGAAGAGAGUGAAAUGAAACCAUACCAGCUAAUUACCCAGGAAAACACAACCCAGUAACACAUCGAUCCUGAAACGGAGAUGUAGACUGACACAGUUAUGUUGUUUUAUCUUAUCACACAACUACAGGAGAAAAAAAUGUUUAUGUGUUUAUUUUUUGGUGUGAUUUGUCAAACUUCUAAGGAAGAUAUCACCAUUUCUUACCUUAUGAAUGGAAUUCAUAUGUAUUUUCUUUAAAUAUCAGAAAGUGUUGCUUAAUUUUCUUCAUAAUCAUUAUAAAGCUAACAUUUUAUGACUUGAAGCACUUUUUAACAUAGAACUGCACCCAGUUUCUACAUGUUCAGAGUUAAGAUAUCAUCUAUAUUCUGCCACAGAGCUCAGAAGCAAGGAGUGCCAUCCUGAUCCCAGCCUCAAGUCCCCAAUCCAGGUGCCUCCAUGUCUUCUCAAUUUCUUCUCCAUGGAAAGGAAUAGGAAUCUUAUAGGUCAACAAGUAUGGGGUAGAUUCCAACUUGCAAAACCUUUAUAGAUGGCCUCAUUUACUUAUAUACAUGGGGAAAGGUAUCCAAAAGACAGGAAGGAGCAGUAAAAUAUGUACAUGAGUGAUCCACCAUACUGUUGAGAAAUACCACUGAAUGCCAGUGUUACUCCAAUGUUACAUUUCCUUGGCCUCUCUUUUUUUCCUUCCUUUAAUCUAUUCCAGACACGCUCAUUGGCAAAACCCAACCAGAAGCCAGAGCAGAGAGCCUGGGUACUGUGUCCUAUAGAGGUUACAGAUCCAAGUUCACAGACCGAGGUCGAGAGACGUGGAGAAUGGGUCUCAUGGCAAGCAGAAACACAGAGAAUUAGCCAGGAUAAAGAUGAGAAGAAAAUUAAAAAUCCUUCGGAAGUCCACCCUCCAGAGCUCUCUGAUGCAGCGGAGACAUGGAGAACGUAGAAAGAACGGUGCCCUGGCGUGCCUGCCUAUGGGCUGUGCCAUCUGCAGGCUGUGACUGUUGUGUCGUAUCUGUGAAGACUCCCGUCCUGGGCUGCUGUGGAGCCUCAUUGUUCUCCACCCCCGUUUCCCAGGACAUGAAGAGAGGGGUGCCCAUGGACGCAGCACUCUGGAUGGUGUCCUGCUAUUUCGGACAGACAAUUGCUUGUUCAUGUUCACGGAGGAAGAGGAAGUCGAGUAUUGUGUAAUUAAACGGAAUCAGGAGAAUUUACGCUGAUAUUUGGUAAGCCAUUUCCUCUUCUUACUACAAGUGUCUGAUACAUGCUUUUCCCGAUAAGUAGCAGAACUGCUGUUCUCAUCAGAAAUUUCGGAGCUGAAAUAGAAAUCUCUGAGGGGCUGUUUGACUUUGAAGUGGCAUUUUCGUAAGGAUUUUUUGGAAACAAGGAGCAGUUGCGAAUUUAGAUCUUCGAGGACUGUGCUAUUACCUCUGACGAGAUGAAUGUUCAGGCGUGUGCAAACAAGUCUCUUGGUGUUUGGCCCAGAAAGCUCGAUUGUUUCCCCCUCUGGCCUGCACUUUCUGUGUGAGAGUGGACCCUUGCAGUAGAGCGGGAGUAGGACAGUGAUCUGGAGAUCUACACACUUACCCAAAAGCCCAGCCAGCUUCUCCUGAGUCAGGAUGAGGCCGACUGCACUCCUCAAGAAGUCCCAACGUAGAAGCAGCUUUCAAAGGUCCCUUGACCCCCCCCUCCCCCUCUCUGCGGUGCUUGCCCUCAGCCAAAUGCAUGGCUGUGUGCUCCUAAAGAUCUCAGGACACCUCCCAGCAGCUUUUGCAAUCCGUCCCAAGCCUAACACUAGAGCAAAUCCUCUAAAUGUGUAAUAUAAAUUUGCCCUGGUCUAAUCUGGGGACCCCAUGGGGUCGCUGCCUUAAUACCACAUGUCCAGGUGAGGUAUGGAGAGACAGACUGAUUUCUAUCUCUGUUAAAUAUGCUCCCUCUUAAGUGAUGUGACUAAGGAAGGAACACCUUCUCAAAUUUCUCUGGAGGCCUAUGGUUUGGUGCUAAGAAGAUAUGGAGGCCGAAAUUUGCAGCUCUUUACUAAAUCCUGCCAUACAUCUGCAGCCUUGUCAGUAUAAAUUCUGAUCUCAGAGGAAAAAUGAGCUUCAAAUGUGACCCACACGGAUGCAUAUCAGAACCCUGUCUAAUAGAUAGGCUGGCAGAGCCGUAGAAGAAGUGGGUACCAAAUCACCAAGUCAAAAAGAUGUCUACACCCCAAUGUUCAUUAUGGUAUUAUUUAUAAUAAAUAUGGAAUAUAUAACAGAUAGAUAUGGAAGCAGCCCAGGUGCCACUGAUGGAUGAGUGGCUAAAGGAAAGGGGAGGUGCACACACACACACACACACACACACACGGGAUGGAAUACUAUUCAGAAAGAAAGAAGGCACUGUUGCUGUUUGUGAGAACAUGGAUGGCCCUUAAGGACAGUAUGCAAAGUGAAGUAAGUCAGGCAGAGAAAGACAAACUACUGUUUGAUAUCAUUUAUACGUGGAAUCAAAAGAAGAGAGAACAGGCUGGUGGUUGCCAGACUGGGUGGUAGGGGACAGGGGCAGGGGACAAAAUGGGUGAAGGGGGUGGAAAGGUACAAACUUCCCAUCAUAAAGUCCCAAGGGUGUAAUGUACAACAUGGUGAUGAUAGUUAAUAAUACUGAAUGGCAAAUUUGAAAGUUGCUCAGAGAGUAGAUCUUAAAAGUUCUCAUCACAAGAAAAAAUAAUUAUAUAUAUGUAUGGUGAUGGAUGUUGACUAGACUUACUAGGGUAAUCAUUUUUGCGAGAUGCAUCAAAUCAUUAUGUUGGAGAAAUAAAACUAAUACAAGGUUAUAUGUAAAUUAUCCCUCCAUUUAAAAAAAGGUGUGGGUGGGUGCCUGGUAAGGGCAGGAGGUGAAGGUGAAGAAGACCUCCCAACAUGAAAGGAGCACCAGCUGGGGCCCUGGGGCCCUGGGGAGGAAGACACAGGUCUGCCCUGCUUGGAGGCACGUGGAGCAGUGAUGGUGGGUGGAGCCCUCCUCCCGGCAUCCUGUUUCUAGACAUUAAAUAUCUGGUUCACUGCCUGAGCAAAUCUCUGAAUGCUUUUCAUAGCGUGAAGGGAAAACAGAAGAGGAGUCCAAGCCUAAAUGCUAAUGCAAGUCUCUGCAUUAAAGAAACAUUUAUUAUGGGUUUGAACCAAGGCCAGGCUCAGGCUGCCAGAGAGAGCUGGAAGGAGAGAUUGGAGAGUGCUUCCUUUGAAGCUGGUGGUCAGAUCUCUGCUGGCUGUGGUAGCGAACCUAUCUUAUCCCACCAAAGAGGAAGGCUAUUAUUUAGGAGGGAGGGGGCCCACAUUUGAAGUUCUGUAUUAACAUUAUUACAAAUGAUAGAAAACUUUUUUUUUCCAGACAGCUUUUAUGUUGCAGAGACCAAAACAACUUGCCUAAUGUGGGUUUUGCCCACUCCCCUUAGAGUAGUAAUUUUAAAAGAGCUUUAAUUUAAUGAAACAAACUGCCAUGCCAAAUAGUCCCCAGUGGGGGUGGAGAUGGUCUGCAGUGCUGAAGGGCUGUCAGCCCUGCCUGAAAUUUCCAGGCUGUGGAGUUGUCCUGGGCCUGCCCGCCGCCUAGGGGUGCAGCUCUUCACUAGUAGCUCUGAGUGCCGAGCCAAGAGCCAGGAUGAAAAAGGAUGAGCUGACCUUACUGUGCCCUCAUGGCAGCUCUGAGCCUGAGGGGGCCAGGUGGGACGGGGAGAGAGGGCAUCCAAUGUGAAUCCAAAGCAGAAAGUAUGAAGGGCCAUGUGAAAGUCUGAUAGAACAUUUCAGGGAGAUCACCACCAGGCAGGGGGCAUCAGGUGGAGAAGGGAUAUUUAGGAUACACUUCAAAAGAUGGUCAGGAUUUGGACAAGAAACAGAGUAGAAGACAGAUGAAAAGAGGGCACAUGGGGAAGUUGGAGGCAUGCCUGGGGAAGGAGGAGAGUUUGGAGAAGAGUCUGAGAAAGGUAAUCAGGGCCAGGUUGUGGAGGGUCUGGUGUGGGAGGGAAAGGGCUGGGGGUCGCCGCAGUGGCCCAGGGGAGAGGAAACGAGUCUGGCAGUGCUGUUGCAGGCGUGUCUGUGACAGUGACUGUCAGCGGGCCCGGGAGCUUAAAAACUGAGGCUGGGAGCACAGAACCUGAGUUUGGGCUUAAAUGGUCUGAGGUGAGGCCACGGGCAUUAGGAUUUGUGAAAAGCUGCCCAUAGUCACUGAUUCUAAGAUGCUGUCAAGGUGAAGAACGAAUCGUUUGCAUUCUGAUUCAGUGGGGUGGGACUUGUUUUCAAAGCUUGCGGUGAUGCCAGUGAUCCUGGUCCACGGGCCACUCUUGGAGUAGCAAGAGGGUCCUUAGGACUCGGCCACUCAGAGCACCUGCCUGCAGUUGAAUCUUGCUGGGGAGGAAAAACAGAAAACAUUUGACCUCUUCCAUCUGGUAUGCCCUGGGAUGCUGGCGCUUGCUGAGGGAGGGCAGCCUCUUUCACUAGCGGUCGCUGUCCUUCAGGGACAAAUGGGAACUCUAAACUGAAGCACACAUACUCCUAGGGCUAGAGGAAGACGUUUCAGGGGUUGAGCGAGCAUGGGCAGCUUUUGCUGGAUCUGUUUCCUCAGCUUCCACAGCUAGGCUGUCCCACAGAAGAUCCGCCGGAGGGCACCCUCCUCCAUGCUGACCCGCCUACUCCUCCUCGCCUUCCCUCCCAGUCUCUUCCCUCACCCUUGGCAGAGGGAAGAUUUCCCUCUCAUAGGCCUUACCACGGAUGGGGCACUAUGGCCGGAUGCAAAAGUCCCCACGAUUCGAACCAGAGGGCAACGAGAAAAUGCAGGCUCUCGCGAUCAAAGCAAGAAAUAGUUGACGGUGUUGCCCUUGGCUUCGUGAGCACAGAACCUUCUAUAUCGCUGCUAGAAUCAUAUCUUGUAAGGGAUUCUCAGGAGGGCCCGCAGCAAUAUGUUUAUUUGAAUUUAAAAGGUGAAAUCAUUCUUUUCUGACGAGAAGUAAGUCAACUUUACUUAAUGUUGACAAUGAGGACUGACUUUGCAAUUAGAUCAUACAUUUAUUUAGCCGUAUGGACCAAUCCUUAUUCCAAACACUUUACACAAAUGCAGUGAUUUAAUCCUCUCAAAGGCCUUAUAAUUAAGUACUACUAUUAUUCCCAGUUGAUACAGAAUAUUGAUGUACAAGAGGUUAAGUAACUUGUCCACAGUCACAUGGCUGGUAAGGGUUGACAUUUUCUAUAAAUUUCACGAACUCAAUCUAUAGUUCCAACAUUUUGACAAAAAUACAAUGUGAUGUCCAUGUUCAAAGUACAGUACUCGGGCAUCUUUGGCAGUUAUUUAAACAUAUGGUAAAGAUCUUUAACUAUCGCCUUUAAAAUUUGGCUCACUGACUAUGCAGUCUUGGCCCAGUCCCACUUUUCUGAGGGUCAGCCCCUCAUCUGCAAAAAAUGGAACAAGCAUCUCUGCUCAUCAGGGUUGCUGAAAGAGCAAAUGUGAGAGCCCAAGAAGUAGCCUGGCCCGUAGCCAGUUCUGGAUGAAUGGCAGAUAUUAUUAACAUGGUUGGCAUCUGGAAAGCUAUCUUGGCAUGUGGUAGGAGCUCCCUGAAUGUAAGCACCCUUCCACCUGAUUAAUGAUCCCCAGAUUUCAUUCCCAUGGCAUAAAAUGCCCUGUGAGGGGUGGUAGUGUGAGGCAGCUAUGCAUCCUCUUGUCUUCCUUGUCCAAAUUUCCUCAAAGAAGACAUCACAGUGCACUUCCUCCAGCAUGCCCCCUCUGAGUGAUAAAGCCUCACAAUGACCUCUCUUUUCGUUGAUCAUUUGACUGGCUCACACUAGGUCUUCGUGAGCAGAUCAAUGAAUCAGUGAAUGAAUGAAUGCUGGGAAUCGGGGAGAGGGAAUGAGGCAGGCACUUCCUUGCCUUCACCAAACUUGGGGUCUAGAUGUCACCAGACAAUUGCAACACUGACAGAUGCCAAAAUAGUAGAAAAAGAGGGGCCAGCGCAAGCCCACGUAAGGGGCAUCAAGGAAGGGAAGGCUUCCUGGAAGGAAGUGUUGUCUAAACUAAAAUCAAAUGGACAAGUAGAAGUCAGACAGCAGGAGCGGUGUGUUCAUAGGCCUAGAGGUAAGAAAAGAUCCACUGAGCUUUGAGAAUAGGACUUAGUAAACUUGACCAUGGAUGAAGAUUUCCUAGUCUUAAACUUGAUUUCUUGCCUUCUAUUGCCCCUCCCAGAUGGUCAAAACACAAGGAGUUUUCUACAUCUUUUGUAUUCACCCUAUAUUUGCUCAUUUCUAACCUCCUGGAGCACUGCAUAGAACCCAUUCUAGCCAGGAAAUGGGUUAAGAGCACCCCAUCUGCUGGUCCCUAGGACACACAUCCCCAGGAAGCCAUGCUCUGAAAUAUCUGUUCACACAUCAAAAUCGGGAUUAUGUGGGAGCACUUCACCUGCAAGGGGCAGACAGACCCCGUGGCCUCAGAGCUGGGGCUUUGGGUCUAUAGGGUGGAUGAAAUGUGUGGCUUGUCCCAGUCUGCCUUUCGAUCCCAAGAUCAGAGAAGAGCACAGAGUCAGCAGCAGGGCAGGGAGAGCAGGAUUGUCUGUUCAUACUCUCCCUGUGACUGAAGGUCAAAUCCUGUCACCAGCAGACAGACUAGCCUUUGUUGCUUCCCCGGAGUAGCCCUGGACACUCUCUCUCCUCCAUACUUUCUGGGGCUUUCUGUUCCAGUCUGCAAAAUUAACUCCUGCAAAUGAAACAAGAAACAAGAUCUGGACACUGCAAAUCCACCAACCGAGAUCAGAUAUGUCUUUUGAGGCAUGAAAGCAAAGAUUUUCUGUGAUUUUUCAGAGCCUUCCCAGUUGCAAGAUUUUCCUGGAAAUCCACAAGUAAGUGCUACUUGUGUACUAGAAACAAUGAAAUUCAUUCUUACGGUUGGCUCCAGAGUGGUCAGUGAUAUCACCACACAGGCAAACACACUCCCUAUCCGUCUGCUAGCGAAGGCUACAUUUAUAUCAAACUAAUUUAUGUGUUUCCAGUUUAAAAAAUUCAGUUUAUUUUCCCUGUGGUUGUGAUGAGCAGGUUGGCUGACAAAGAAAAAUCAGUAGAAGGAGACUUUCCCAAAGAUCAGAAAAAGAGUAAAGCAGAAUGUGACAACACUUGGCUCUGUUGGCCUGACCGGUACAUUGACCAAAGUCUGAGGUCUAGGGUGAAGUUCCCUGCACAUGGAGACUUGGCCACUUGAACCAUACUAGAGCCUGCCAUUUUCUCUCUUUCUUUCUUUUUUUAGAUAUAAUUAAGUGUCAAGUUAGCUAACAUACGGAGUGUACAGUGUGUUCUGGGCUUUGGGACUAGAUUCCCCGUGAUUUUUCACUUACGUGCAACACCCACUGCUCAUCCCAACAAGUGGCCUCCUCGAUGCCCAUCACCCAUUUUCCCUCCACCCCCCCCCCCAUCAACCCUCAGUUUGUCCUCUGUACUUAAGAGUCUCCCAUGGUUUGACUCCCUCUCAGUUUGUAACUAUUUUUUUUCUUCCCUUCCCCCAUGGUCUUCUGUUAAGUUUCUCAAAUUCCACAUAGGAGUAAGAACAUAAGAUAUCUGUCUUUCUCUGAAUGACUUAUUUCACUUAGCAUAUUACAUUGUUGCAAAUGGCAAGAUUCCAUUAUUUUUCAUUUCUGAGUAGUAUUCCAUUUUAUACACACACACACACACACACACACACACAUACAUAUAUACACCACAUCUUUAUACAUUCAUCAGUCACUGGAUAUUUGGGCUCUUUCCAUAAUUUGGCUAGUGUUAAUAGUGCUGCUGUAAACAUUGGUAUACACGUGCCCCUAUGAAUCACCACUCCCGUAUCCUUUGGAUAUAAAUGCCUAGUAGUGAGCCUGACGUUUUCUAAGAGCACUUCUUUUUGCUCCUAAAAGUAAUCCCAACUUUCCUUUACAAGACCUUUAACGUGUGUGUUUUCCAGGAUGUCUUUCCUGACCGAUCUCACCUGGCCCUGGUCACUCCUUUGGGUUUUCUUUCAUGGCUGUGUGCCCCACCUUGGGUUGUAAGCCCUGUGAAGUCAGGAACAAACCAUUUCUUGACUGUCCUCUCUGCAGCUCUAGAGGAAGCAUUUUGUCAAUGGGAGGGAUGGGGUCCGAGGCUACCGACUCCACAGGUACCAUUUCCUUACUGGCGGGAUGUUUGAGCCCAAAUCCAGCCCCUAUCUUCCUCCAUCGCUUUGGACUCCUCUUGCAAAUAGGCCGUUUUGCACAACUGCCUUUUCUAGGAGACACCUUGCACUGCGAUGCUUUUGUUUGGCUGCAGUUAACUCCAAGGCCUGUGCCAGCCACACACUCAACAAGGGCCAUGCUUCCAGCCAAGUGAGUCCUCUGAAAUGAAAACACAAACAGGCCAUCCUGCCGGGACCAGUAGCCGCCUGCUGCUAGCUGGGGAGGAAGGACUUUCAUUAGUUAUUGUCACUGAGCUGGCACUGUGCCAAUCCCCACAUCUGGAAACAGUUAUGAAGAAAGAAGAGGCAUGAAAGCCUGGGCCUCAUGACCCUGCAGUGUUCCUUUCUGCUGCUUUAUUUAUUAAUUUGCUUGGUUUGGAGUGAUCAACUCAGGUCCCCAGUGUAAGUUACAGGAACCGAAGUUAAAAAGGGGCCACGACAGUCACAAUAUGCUCCGAAAACAGGCCAAGAUCUUAUUUAUGGGGUCUUGGAUGAACUUUACAUCUAAAUAAACAUGUUUUGAAGUUGCAUAGUGUGUUGGACUUUAAUCACCAAGCCAAGCCUUUCUAAGCUCUGCCUCGAGCUUCAUGCUCCUCCCCAACUUGGCAGGACUCUGCCACAUAGGUCUCCAGGGCACGCUAGGAUUUGUGCCCAUUGGAUUUGGACAUGCAGAUAGAGCCUGCUGUUUGCGCACGCAUGCACACACGUGCACACACACACACACACGCACACGCACACACAGGGACACACUUGUUACCUCCCCCGCCUGCCUCCUUUAAACUGUAAGUAACUGAAAUGUUUCAGUGGAGGCUGACCUGUGUCUGCACGCACCAGUGCCAUGUGCCGUUAGCUGCUGACAGUGCCCUGAAGAUGAAAUAGUCCACAAGGCCUAGGGGCCUGUUCCAGAGUGCUUAUUGGUUCUAAAGUUUGGAAAGUGCUAUAUGGAAGAUGGGCUUUUUGAAAAGGACCCAAAUUCAAACGUUAGGAUAUUUAGAUUUCUAUACAAUGGAAGGGUGGAGAAGGAUGGUCUUAAAUCGAAUGAUCAAGAAGGCAUUUUCCUUGGCCAUUGAGAAUGGAUGCACAGAAAAGCAACUCUUCCAGGCUCUUGUAGGUCUCAGAAACUGUAAGGUGCUAACGAGAACCAGAAACCCAGACUAGCAGUAUGUCUGUCUCUGGUACUAACUCUGUCUCUGGUUUGGGGUUUGAUGAGUUGCAGUCUACCUUGCUGACUUGGCUUCCCUCCCAACCAGAUGAUGAAUCACCUCUUCUGGGAAGAAUCCCAAACCCCCUCCACUCCUCUCACCCUCGACCGACUAGCCAGCCACCAUCCCCCCCUCGCCCCGUGUGGUUGGGUACUUUCCUUUCGAGCUCCUUUCUAUGGAGCCAUGUAUUAAGCACUUAUUUCAUUGUAUAUACGCCUGGCUCCCCCACCAGACUGAGUGCCUCAUGGACGGGGAAUGACUGAGUCAUUUCUGCAACUGCCACAGGCAGCCCGUCGCUGAGCUCGUAGCAUGAUUUCUGUGAGUGUUUGUACAAUCAGUCCAGAACCACUUUGUGGAGCGAGACGGUUGACCCAUGCAUCGGCAGUAGCUUUUUUUUUUUAAUGACAUAGAAAAAUAGGACUUACUCAAAUUACAGUUCAACUGUGACUUCAGAAACGUGCUAAUUAAUCCGGACACAUCUUUUCUACAGACUCUGGGGGUCAUUUUAAUUCUUUUGUUGUCCUGGGAUUUUGUUGUAUUAAAUGUUAAUCUAAGUGACUGUGCCGUUAAUUUGAAGAAUUCUCAAGGACAGAUAAUUGAUGUUUGAUCAGUAAUUUAAAGAGGAAUAAAAGGAAAGUUUGGGUUUUUGUUUAAAUGAGACUUGCCGAAGUGUUGUCGUAUGUGGGGUUGUGCCAGGCACCCCAAAGAAUUAUCUUUCACUUCUUAUGUUACACACUUUUACGGUGCUUUAAGAGAAAUGAGGGCUCAGAAUACAUAGUCCAUCCGCAGUGUGAAAUGUAUUAGGAAAUAAAAUGAUCUGUCUUGCCAGCCAAAGAGUCAGAUGGAGGUCAUUGCUGUAGUACGGGAGGCUGCAAAGAGGGGUCUAGAUAAUUAAAGAGGAAUGAUGAGGCCUUGCCAGCGCUUGCUGCAGUAUGUUUAAGAGUCCACAUGUGCUGAGACCAUAAGUUAGCUCUGGGAGCCUAGAGGCUACCUGAUGGUAAAUUGGGUGCAGGUGGGAAUGUUCCCUUUGGGAGGUCCCAGGCCAUGGGGAGCCCAGUGUCAGUGCUGCAAACUCCCUCAGGUGUCUGCUUAAGCCCUGGGGAAAAGACAGGGAUGUGCUUCCCCCAAAUUCAAGAAAGCAAUUCUCGUCUUGCCUAUGCCAGCUGAGUAGCAUUUUUAUUUGUUCAAUGCAAAUUCUGGAGACUUCAUCAGAGGACCCUGCUAGUGGCUAAUCUGGAGGAGCAGCGAGUCACUGCUAUGGGAGCAGGUGGAUAAUCCCUUCCCCUGUAUCUGGGAGGCACGGGCUCAUCUAGAUUCACCAAGCAGUAAAUACAGAUGGUUCUUUCUGUAGGCUGGGAGUGGCGUAACGGUAAGGUUGUUGAGGGGUGCUAAAUAAUUCUAGGUGAGUCACUCAAAGGAACACAGACAGAUUUCAUGGUGAAGAUAAACGAUGGUUCCACAGCUCAGUCCUCUGCCUCUCUGGGGUGGGAGGGAAUGGCUCUGUGUCACCACUUUCCUCACCGAAGCUGCCUCAUUUACCAGAAAGUCUGCUGGGGACUUGCGGGGUUUGCUCAGUGAACAUCUGUGCAAGCGAGAGAAAGUUCUAGAGCUUUCGAAAAGUGUGCAACUACACUGCCCGCCGAGGGGCAUUCAACAGUGGUGUAGGCAGUGCGGCUGCUAGGACCUGGUGGGCCAUCUCUGUUCAAAUGCUGAUUCUUCCGCUUACAGCUUCAUCACUUCUCUGGCAAGCUCCUUCGCCUCUCCCAGCCUUGCCUUUCUAAUAUCUGUAAAACAGAAAAAUGAUUCCCAACCCAUAGGAUUAUGUUAAGGAUGAAAUGACUUAAUGCAUAGAAAGUACUUAAGACAGCACCUGCCGUUGGUAAGCUAGGAGUGGUGUGCAAACGGGUAAAUAGUCCGUGUGCGCGCAUGCGUACACGUAUAGCCCGUGCGCAUGUGUGCACGUAUGUGCCUUUCUCGGCUUCCCCAUGGCUCUGAAGCUCGCUACCUUUCUAGAAACAGCCUCAUCUGGGGGAUCCCCGGGCUAACCCCUGCUUUUGCUGUCUUGGGAAGCAGCAGUCCAAGCCCCUUUCCGUGGCUCCUCUCAUCACAGCAUUUAGGCCCUCAAGUCUUGGUGAAAGGUCAGGAGCCCCAUGGGUGGAAGGCUAAGGAGGAAAUGCUGGGGAAGGCUGGGAGCGGGGAGGGAGCCGACUCGGAGAGGUGGCUGGUGCUGACAGGUGGGCUCUGGGCCCAGAGCCUGACUGCUGCGUGAGGGGCGGGGCGGGUCCAGAGAAGUCAGGGUGUGUAUCACAGAACGCUGAAAUGUGGAGUAAUUUUGCCUCCAUUUCAGGGUAAAGGUGCUGAUCUAGAGAACGGGCAUGUUCCAAAGUGUGCCAACCAGCAGGCAAGAUGUGUCUGUUAUCUCUCAAGCUGUCUGCCCUGCACAAAUCACCUUCUGUACCAUGGAUUCAAAUGUCCUGAGGCCUUUUGGGGGAGGCAGGGUGGGGGCAGGAUCAGAGCAUUUCUUAGGCACUUUCAACAUGGCUCUCAGGGUGGCUGCUGUGGAGCCACAUCUCUCGAUGGCUGCAACCUCUUCCCCCUUCUUCUGAUGGUCACACAGCUUGCGGCUGAGGAAGUGGAGGCUUUCUCUGCAUUUUAGCACGGCGGGGGGGGGGGGGGUGCAGUCAAAAUCAGGAUGUGACGUUGGGAGGGAAGGUGGGGAGGGGAGCCAGGACAAACAUUUUUUUAAGCCCCUUGGUUUCUGCCCGACUCUGAGGGCCACUUAAAUCAGAAUCCUAGCUGCGUGGAGGAACCACCAGCUAAAGUGGUGUCUGUCUCCGCUUACUCCAGACCCAUCUGUUGCAAUGGGUGGGGGUUGCACAGAAGGGAUUUAGGCUGGACCUUCCAAAACACAGACAGCAGUCAAUUACUGAGGCUGUAGCUGUUAACUGGGCUCCAUGCGGAGCUAUUCUGAAGUUCUAAAAGAAGAGCAUGUGUAAGCACUUGGGCUAAGUGUCACGGCAGACCUAAGGGCUAACAUGGGAAAGGAGAGCCUCCCUCAAGUGGGAAGGCCAAGGAACGAAGACGAGAUGAUAACACAGCAGCCCAGAAGGGUUACGGAAUCUGCCUGAGGGCACACAGCUUCUCAGGAGCAAAGCUGUUCUUACAUGAGUGGAGACCAGGAGGAGCCCAGUGCUCUGCAUAGCGGAAGCAGAAGUGGGGCUGUGUGCGGUGUGGGCUGUGUGCUGUGUGCCUUGCCCCGCAGGAGCCAAGGCUGAUGUCAGGAUACGUGGGAGAGCAGGCUAGAUCCAUCAAAAGGAGGCAUUCUAUAGGAGCCUUAGCGGCCAGGCACAGCAUAAGAACGGCAAUGAGUGGAAAGUAACUUUGGGUGUAGGGAUUAUGGAUGGGAUCAGUUUUAUUCUAUGAUCUAGCCUUUUCGGUGUUUUCCAAGCUCUGUAUAAUCUGCAUGCGUUCUUUUUUUAACCAGAAAAAAAAAAAUGUCCAUUAAAAUGAAAGAAAACAGACAGGGAAGUCUGGAUUUUCUCUCAUAAACAAUAGAAGCCAUUGGGCGUGUCCUAGGAGAUCAGUGUUUCCAGAGAAGCGGUAUUUGGGGAAGAUAACGCAGGCAGUGUUGGGAAAGGUGGAUGGCGGCAGUGAGGGUAGGGUGUCAAGGAGACUGGCUGGGGACUGCUGCUGGUGAGAAGUGAGGUAGUGGGGUAUUUGAGUGCUACCUGGGGGAGCAGAAACAUCUGGAGAGGUGUGGAAAGAAUGCUUGGAGGGUCUUGGUGACUGUUUGCACGUGGGGGGCAAGAAGAGGGAAGAGGCAAAAUUUGCUGUGGGGUUUCCAACCCUGGGCGGUGCCCUUGGCAGGAAUAUAGAAGCCAAGAGGAGUGGGACGAAGGAGAGGAGUGGGACAAAGCAGCCAUUGGGGCUUGCUGGAGUUUGGAAUGCAUUGCCUUUGGGUGAUGUCUAUUUUUUUGAGGCCUUUGCCCUCCAAGCAGGAAAACUUGAGGGGAGUAGAGAAAGGCAUGGGUAAACUUUGUGUCUUAAGUUCCCUACUGUGGCUAUCACUCCUCGAAAGUAUUUGAGGUCAGGCAACCUCAAAAGUGCCUGUGGAUUCUUCUAGGAGAUUUUAUCUGAGCCAAAUCAAUGCAACUCUCGUGUGAAAAAUCCAUUUCCCUGGAAAAUGAAGUUGGGUUCUAACCAACAAGUAGUAGCGUUUGGCAAGCCCUGAUUAAGAAAGCCAGUGUUUGGAGAAGUUGUGACAACAGCCAGUCAUUUAGGAAAGUAAACACUGGGGGCCUCAUGCCAUUUUAGGGCUGUGACAGUUGGUUCUGUCCCCUUCAGAUGUAGAGACUGACGCUGCAGGUUUAAGCGCUUGCUGGUACCAGCCUGUGGACCACCCAGGCCCCCUUUGCAGGCUUUGAAAAGCAAGAAGAAUUGAAGGUGACCCCGACCGGACACAGUUUCCUUUCCCUGUUCAUUGUGGAGAAGACACUGAAUAUCUAACAACUGGACUUAGCAAAACAAAAGACAAACCACCUGCCAGUCACCACGGUAUCUUGACCGACAUUCAGAAAGUCAGCUGGGCCUCAGUGCAGCAGCUGACCACUUUCCAACGUGGUCAUGUCGCUGGUAAAAAUUCUCGGGUGUCUUUCUCUUUGUCGAUGUCUGUAUUUCUUGAAAAGCUUUACAUGAAUUGAAUCGUAGUUUAAACUCAUCUGAGCUUUACCCGUUUAACCUAAAACGCCACUGGGCUAUGUUUCUCAGACUUUGACAUGCACACAAAUGACCUGGUGAUCUGUUAAAAUACAGUAUCUGACAGAGGGUGGGGUGUCUAAGAUUCUGCAUGUGUUCCACACGUUCUCAGGGGCAAGGUUAUGGUACGCCCUUGACAACCCAAAUCCAAAUUCCCCAAAUGGCACUGCAGUAACCCCUCAAGUUUAGUAGACAGGGCUGUUUCUUGCAUUUGUCAGGGGGAUAGAGAAUUGCUGUGUGUAUAGUACUGUUCUAAAUGCUGUGUGUUGUACAAAGAAUGGAAGCUUUCCCCCAGAUGUGACUCAUGUGUUCCUUUAAGUUGGAUAUCUCAUGCCAAAGCUCAUCCUUCUUUCUCCCCAGCAAGUCUUAGGGUGCUGAAGAGCUAAUUCGCUACAUGGCGGCAGCUUUUUUAGGCCGAGUGCCCUCUGGAAAUUAUUUUGGCCAUGUCAUCUGUCCCCACUGAUGCACAGACAUCACCAGGAGCUCUGGGGAGGAUGGCCAGAGGGAGGUAUGAAGUGGACCAAGCUGCGAACACCAGUUCUCCCACCCACAGACCCCCAAACCAGUUUGUCUCGGUUUCCUUUGUGGGGAACUUGCUGGAACCACUAAUUCGUCGUGAUGUUUAAAGCGCGUCGUCAAGCACAACAGGGUUAUUUUAAAAAACUGAACUGUUUUUGGUGAUCUUACAUGAGCCACAGAAUGUGAAAGUAGUCAUUUUUAUAAAGUGCCUGAAAAAGCCUAGUAAUUAUUGUUCCAAACAAGCCGGUCUUUCUCUGCAGUUUGUCUGACAUGGAAAGAAAAAGAAAACCCCUUCCAAGUGAGCGGUCUUUCAGUGAGCUGUGCUCGCCCUAGCUGGAUCCAGGUCAGCGGGGUUGGGGGACCCCUGCUUUUCUCUCCAGCUGCAUCUUGUCCUGUGGUCCAAAAACACCCCUCCAAGCAGCUGUCUCUGGUGGGAGAGCAUGUUUACAAUCACGGCGCUCUGUGUUUUACAGUUUCCGAGAGGGGCAGUGGUGGGCAAGAACGGGAUUUAUUUUUUACUUACAUCCAAACAGUCAAUGAAAUAUUACUGUAAUCUCUUACUGAGCUCAUGGAAAAACUCAAGUCAUCGAAUGUUAGUUUUACAGAUGAGGGAAGUUUUACAGCAACAUUACCUGACUGGCUCCAAAGCCCGUAAAUCUUGCUACAGGGAGAGUUAGGCUGGGAAAGCAGGGCUCCCGGGCUCUUACACACAAGAUGCAUCUUCCCUAAAACUGCGAUGCAGCUAAUGCUCCAGCCCCGGGGGAAAUUUCAAGCCUGGGCUUGGAUCUCUUUGAGUGCUUCCUAAUGUCCUGUGCCAAGCAGUCAUGUUGAAACAGAGAAACGUUCUGCUUGAAAUUAAUUAAAAGAUCAUUUUCACAUGAUCGCUUCUAGAGUUGCUAAUCAGUGACCUCUAUUAUAUAAAACAGUUACUGGGGAGAAGUAAGCAACUCAUAUGCAUCAACCACUUGACUUGAGUUAUAUUAUAAUCUACCCUAAAUCCUGUGGGGUAGUUUUGAUGAUCAUCUCUAUGAGAUAAGUAGCAGUUGAAGCUCAGAGGAAUUGACCAGCUUGCCCAAGGCCACACAGCUUAUAAGGAGCUGGGAUUUGAACUCAGGCCAUCUGCCUCCAGAGCCUGUACUCAACAGCUUUGUUAUACUGGUGUCAUUACUCAGGCAAGGCUGGCUGUCUACAUGGUGGAUCCUGGCGUGGGGACAAACGUGAACCAGCUGCAAACCUGAACCAUUAAGUGAAAUUGCCAAGGGCUGCUUCCUCCCUUUCCUUCCCAGAAACUUCCUGUUGUUUCUUACCUUACCCUUCUGGUCAAAGCCACCCCAAAUUUAUAAAGGAGUUAUUUUACAGCAGCUCACACUCAGAUGCCAAACCAUGGAGGCUGCUGUGUGCUCAGACCUCAGCCCAGCCAAUGCAGCCUUCCCAGCUGGUGACCUGAGAGGCCAUCCAUCUUGACUCAGUGAGUGGGGCCAUUGCCAAAGAUACCUCUCUCUUUGCUUGACCACUGGCUGAGCAGAAAGUCAGCAGAUAGGAUUUUUUGAUGGGAAAAUCACCAAAAUAGUUCUUCCUAUGCUAAUCUCUGGAUUUUCUCCCACAGGGUCCAGAAAGAAAAAAAGAAGAAGAAAGAAAAAAGAAAUGAUAAUAAGCACCA